AUUCUGGCAAAACAAACCAAUGAACAACAAAUCACAGACCAUAAGAAUUAAAACAAUUACAUACAAUUAACAAGAAAAACUUCACAAACCUAAGUAAAAUAGAAACAAAUAAAACAAACUGGAAACAAAAAAUCUAUGCAAGCAAAACAAAGCAAGGAACAACAAAAACGAAGGUGCAAGACGAGCCACUAAUGCUUGGAACAUCCAGGAAGAACAUGCCAACUCCCCCGCUGUCAGACCUACAAUCUCAACAAAACUCUAUAUUUCCCAGGCUUAGUGCAGGAAAGAUAGUGUAAGAUUACAAAUUAAGUUUGAGUACCUACAGUAUUGAAUCUCCGGUUGUUGUCUGAGUCGAGCGUGAUUCGACCGGUUUCCUCACGCUCGCCUGAAGGUUUUCCGAGCAAUUAGGACAUGUGGUAGUCACUACCCCGUUUAAACCACAUUUGUAACAAAACAAAUUUCGCUGCAUCGAUGGGCAUUCUUUGAAUACGUGAUCCGUUAAGUGACAAUUACAGCAUAUAAUGUUAUCUACUUUAUUAAUCUUUGGUCUAACCUUGUUCAUUCUCUACAAUUUCCUCUAUCUGUCUCCUCUGUCCAUACCUUAUCUGCGGUUACAAAUCCCUAACUAUACACAUUAUUUUACAACACCAACAUUUUAACGAUGGGUUUAGAUGUCAAUCCUAUCCUCGUCGCCCACCCUACCUAGAUCAUUUUCAUGAAUUAUGACCCCUUCUCAAAUUCGUUAACACUUUCAACCACUCACCAUUUAACGCAACUCACACAUCUUCGGCCCACUGUACCUGUAACAAUUAAACUUUACGGACACAUUUUGUAACAAUUAAUAUUUUUAAAAAAUCACAUUUAUUAACUAAUUUAAACAAUAAACAUAAAUAAAAGCUUAAUACUAAAUUUUGUGUUAACUUA